rnacentral:rRNA from 1 species
AGCGAACGCUGGCGGCAGGCUUAACACAUGCAAGUCGAACGCCCGGGCAACCGGGAGUGGCAGACGGGUGAGUAACGCGUGGGAACGCGCCCUUUGGUUCGGAAUAACUCAGGGAAACUUGAGCUAAUACCGGAUAAGCCCUUACGGGGAAAGAUUUAUCGUCGAAGGAUCGGCCCGCGUCCGAUUAGCUAGUUGGUGUGGUAAUGGCGCACCAAGGCGACGAUCGGUAGCUGGUCUGAGAGGAUGAUCAGCCACACUGGGACUGAGACACGGCCCAGACUCCUACGGGAGGCAGCAGUGGGGAAUAUUGGACAAUGGGGGCAACCCUGAUCCAGCCAUGCCGCGUGAGUGAUGAAGGCCCUAGGGUUGUAAAGCUCUUUCGGCGGGGACGAUAAUGACGGUACCCGCAGAAGAAGCCCCGGCUAACUUCGUGCCAGCCGCCGCCGUAACAC